rnacentral:rRNA from 1 species
AUGCACGCUGGCGGCGUGCCUCAUCCAUGCAAGUCGAGCGCACGGACGAGAAGCUUGCUUCUCUGAUGUUAGCGGCGGACGGGUGAGUAACACGUGGAUAACCUACCUAUAAGACUGGGAUAACUUCGGGAAACCGGAGCUAAUACCGGAUAAUAUUUUGAACCGCAUGGUUCAAAAGUGAAAGACGGUCUUGCUGUCACUUAUAGAUGGAUCCGCGCUGCAUUAGCUAGUUGGUAAGGUAACGGCUUACCAAGGCAACGAUGCAUAGCCGACCUGAGAGGGUGAUCGGCCACACUGGAACUGAGACACGGUCCAGACUCCUACGGGAGGCAGCAGUAGGGAAUCUUCCGCAAUGGGCGAAAGCCUGACGGAGCAACGCCGCGUGAGUGAUGAAGGUCUUCGGAUCGUAAAACUCUGUUAUUAGGGAAGAACAUAUGUGUAAGUAACUGUGCACAUCUUGACGGUACCUAAUCAGAAAGCCACGGCUAACUACGUG